rnacentral:rRNA from 1 species
GACGAACGCUGGCGGCGUGCUUAACACAUGCAAGUCGAACGGAAAGGCCAUGCUUUUGUGGGGUGCUCGAUUGGCGAGCGGGUGAGUAACACGUGAGUAACCUGCCCUUGACUUUGGGAUAACUUCAGGGAAAUGCGGCUCAUACCGCAUAGGAUCUCCUGCUGCACGGGGGGGGAUGGAAAGUUUCGGCUGUUGGGGAUGGUAUCGAGGCGUAUCAGCUUGUUGGUGGGGUUGCUGCUUACCUAGGCUUUGAGGGGUAGGCGGCCUGAGAGGGUGGUCGGCCGCCCUGGAAGGGAGACAGGGACCAUGGUACUGCGAGACGGACCAGACGCCAACGGGAGGCAGCAGUGGGGAAUAUGACACAGUGGGCGGAAGCCUGAUACAGCAACGCCGCGUGCGGGAUGACGGCCUUCGGGUUGUAAACCGCUUUCGCCUGUGACGAAGCGUGAGUGACGGUAAUGGGUAAAGAAGCACCGGCUAACUACGUG